rnacentral:rRNA from 1 species
AUUGAACGCUGGCGGCGUGCCUAACACAUGCAAGUCGAGCGGUAACAGGUGUAGCAAUACAUGCUGACGAGCGGCGGACGGGUGAGUAACGCUUGGGAAUCUGCCUAUUAGUGGGGACAACCCGGGAAACUCGGCUAAUACCGCAUACGCACUACGGUGGAAAGCCGGGGACCGCAAGGCCUGGCGCUAACAGAUGAGCCCAAGUCGGAUUAGCUAGUUGGUAGGGUAACGGCCACCAAGGCGACGAUCCGUAACUGGUCUGAGAGGACGACCAGUCACACCGGAACUGAGACACGGUCCGGACUCCUACGGGAGGCAGCAGUGGGGAAUCUUGCGCAAUGGGCGAAAGCCUGACGCAGCGACGCCGCGUGAGGGAUGACCGGCC